rnacentral:rRNA from 1 species
UCGAACGGAGAUUAUACGCAGAGGCGAUUUCGGUCAAAUCAUGUGUAAUCUUAGUGGCGGACGGGUGAGUAACGCGUGGGUAACCUGCCUUACACUGGGGGAUAACACUUAGAAAUAGGUGCUAAUACCGCAUAAGCGCACGAAGCCGCAUGGAUUUGUGUGAAAAACUCCGGUGGUGUAAGAUGGACCCGCGUCUGAUUAGCUUGUUGGCGGGGUAACGGCCCACCAAGGCGACGAUCAGUAGCCGGCCUGAGAGGGUGGACGGCCACAUUGGGACUGAGACACGGCCCAAACUCCUACGGGAGGCAGCAGUGGGGGAUAUUGGACAAUGGGGGGAACCCUGAUCCAGCGACGCCGCGUGAGUGAAGAAGUAUUUCGGUAUGUAAAGCUCUGUCAGCAGGGAAGAAAGAAAUGACGGUACCUGACCAAGAAGCCCCGGCUAACUACGUGCCAGCAGCCGCGGUAAUACGUAGGGGGCAAGCGUUAUCCGGAAUUACUGGGUGUAAAGGGAGCGUAGACGGUUAAGUAAGUCUGGAGUGAAAGGCCGGGGCCCAACCCCGGGACUGCUCUGGAAACUAUUCAACUUGAGUGCAGGAGAGGUAAGCGGAAUUCCUAGUGUAGCGGUGAAAUGCGUAGAUAUUAGGAGGAACACCAG